rnacentral:lncRNA from 1 species
CCAUUGUGUCCACCCGAGAUACUCUCGGAGACGUUGCCAGGCUCUGUGAAGAAAGGUGUACGCUUUCUAUCAGAAGAUCAUCUAGAGGAGUUUAUAGCAGGACAUCUCCCUGAAGCAUCCAAUCAGAGUUUCCUCACUGUUGCCCAUGCAGACACGGGCACCCAAACCAACGGUGACCUGGAAGACCUGGAGGAGCAUGUGCCAGAGCAGACAAUCUCUGAGGAAGCCACAGGGGUUCACAUGAUGGAGGGGGACCCAGACACACUGGCCGAACUUCUGAUCAGGGAUGUACUUCAGGAGCUGUCCAGUUACAACGGCG